rnacentral:tRNA from 1 species
AUUUAAAUAAUUUAAAAAAAGUAUUGAUUUGUGGUAUCAAAAAUGUGACUAUUCACUUUAAAUU